GGCAGCUGGCACAGUGGAUAGAGCAGUGGACUACAAAGCAGGAGGUCAGAGGUUCUGAUCCUCCGCUUGGUCA